rnacentral:rRNA from 1 species
UACGAAGGGGGCUAGCGUUGCUCGGAAUCACUGGGCGUAAAGCGCACGUAGGCGGAUUGUUAAGUCAGGGGUGAAAUCCUGGAGCCCAACUCCAGAACUGCCUUUGAUACUGGCGAUCUCGAGUCCGGGAGAGGUGAGUGGAACUGCGAGUGUAGAGGUGAAAUUCGUAGAUAUUCGCAAGAACACCAGUGGCGAAGGCGGCUCACUGGCCCGGUACUGACGCUGAGGUGCGAAAGCGUGGGGAGCAAACAGG